rnacentral:rRNA from 1 species
UACGUAGGGUGCGAGCGUUAAUCGGAAUUACUGGGCGUAAAGCGUGCGCAGGCGGUUCGUUGUGUCCGUCGUGAAAGCCCCGGGCUUAACCUGGGAACUGCGAUGGAAACUAGCGAGCUGGAGUGUGGCAGAGGGGGGUGGAAUUCCGCGUGUAGCAGUGAAAUGCGUAGAGAUGCGGAGGAACACCGAUGGCGAAGGCAGCCUCCUGGGCCAGCACUGACGCUCAUGCACGAAAGCGUGGGGAGCAAACAGG